rnacentral:rRNA from 1 species
GUGGGGAAUCUUCCGCAAUGGACGAAAGUCUGACGGAGCAACGCCGCGUGAGUGAUGAAGGUUUUCGGACUGUAAAGCUCUGUUGUUUAGGACGAAAGUGCCUGUUGCGAACAGUUACAGGUAUUGACGGUACUAAACGAGGAAGCCACGGCUAACUACGUGCCAGCAGCCGCGGUAAUACGUAGGUGGCAAGCGUUGUCCGGAAUUAUUGGGCGUAAAGAGCAUGUAGGCGGAGAUUUAAGUCUGUUGUGAAAAUGCGGGGCUCAACCCCGUAUUGCGAUGGAAACUGAAUUUCUUGAGUGCAGGAGAGGAAAGGGGAAUUCCCAGUGUAGCGGUGAAAUGCGUAGAUAUUGGGAGGAACACCAGUGGCGAAGGCGCCUUUCUGGACUGUGUCUGACGCUGAGAUGCGAAAGCCAGGGUAGCGAACGGGAUUAGAUACCCUUGUAGUCC